ACGAACGCUGGCGGCGUGCUUAACACAUGCAAGUCGAACGGUAAGGCCCCUUCGGGGGUACACGAGUGGCGAACGGGUGAGUAACACGUGAGCAACCUGCCCUUGACACUGGAAUAACAGUUGGAAACAGCUGCUAAUACCGGGUAUGACCUGUCACCGCAUGGUGGUGGGUGGAAAGCCCUGGCGGUCAAGGAUGGGCUCGCGGCCUAUCAGCUAGUUGGUGAGGUAAUGGCUCACCAAGGCUUCGACGGGUAGCCGGCCUGGGAGGGCGACCGGCCACACUGGGACUGAGAUACGGCCCAGACUCCUACGGGAGGCAGCAGUGGGGAAUAUUGCACAAUGGGCGAAAGCCUGAUGCAGCAACGCCGCGUGCGGGAUGGCGGCCUUCGGGUUGUAAACCGCUUUCAGUAGGGACGAAGCUAACGUGACGGUACCUACAGAAGAAGCACCGGCCAACUACGU
rnacentral:rRNA from 1 species